GAUGAACGCUGGCGGCGUGCCUAAUACAUGCAAGUCGAGCGAACAGAUGAGGAGCUUGCUCCUCUGACGUUAGCGGCGGACGGGUGAGUAACACGUGGAUAACCUACCUAUAAGACUGGGAUAACUUCGGGAAACCGGAGCUAAUACCGGAUAAUAUAUUGAACCGCAUGGUUCAAUAGUGAAAGACGGUUUUGCUGUCACUUAUAGAUGGAUCCGCGCCGCAUUAGCUAGUUGGUAAGGUAACGGCUUACCAAGGCAACGAUGCGUAGCCGACCUGAGAGGGGGAUCGGCCACACUGGAACUGAGACACGGUCCAGACUCCUACGGGAGGCAGCAGUAGGGAAUCUUCCGCAAUGGGCGAAAGCCUGACGGAGCAACGCCGCGUGAGAGAUGAAGGUCUUCGGAUCGUAAAACUCUGUUAUUAGGGAAGAACAAAUGUGUAAGUAACUAUGCACGUCUUGACGGUACCUAAUCAGAAAGCCACGGCUAACUACGUG
rnacentral:rRNA from 1 species